rnacentral:rRNA from 1 species
UCGAGGGGCAGCAUACUUAGCUUGCUAAGUUGAUGGCGACCGGCGCACGGGUGAGUAACACGUAUCCACCUGCCGAUGACUCGGGGAUAGCCUUUCGAAAGAAAGAUUAAUACCCGAUGGCUCCGCAUGGUUAAAGAAUUUCGGUCAUCGAUGGGGAUGCGUUCCAUUAGGUUGUUGGCGGGGUAACGGCCCACCAAGCCUUCGAUGGAUAGGGGUUCUGAGAGGAAGGUCCCCCACAUUGGAACUGAGACACGGUCCAAACUCUACGGGAGGCAGCAGUGAGGAAUAUUGGUCAAUGGACGAGAGUCUGAACCAGCCAAGUAGCGUGAAGGAUGACUGCCUAUGGGUUGUAAACUUCUUUUAUACGGGAAUAAGUGAGGCACGCGUGCCUUUUUGUAUGUACCGUAUGAAUAAGGAUCGGCUAACUC